GUGGCCUACGGGACGCAGCAGUGGGGGAUAUUGCACAAUGGGGGGAACCCUGAUGCAGCGACGCCGCGUGGGUGAAGAAGUAUUUCGGUAUGUAAAGCCCUAUCGGCAGGGAAGAAAUUGGACGGUACCUGACUAAGAGGCCCCGGCUAACUACGUGCCAGCAGCCGCGGUAAUACGUAGGGGGCAAGCGUUAUCCGGAUUUAUUGGGUUUAAAGGGUGCGCAGGCGGCACGGCAAGCCGGCGGUCAAA
rnacentral:rRNA from 1 species